CGAAGAGAAGUUUCUUCAUUGAAUAUAUAAUAGUAUACUUAGAUCGUCUUGUCAACUAGUAACUUCUAGAUGAUCCUCUUAUCAACUAGCAACUUCUAGAUGAUCAUCUUAUCAACUGACGACUUCUGAAUCCUCGGCAACCACGAUCAUUGAUAGUGCGAUAUAGAUCAAGAUAAUCUUCAACGUGACAUCUAUCAUAGUACCAUCUUAGAUUGUGACACCUUAGCACUAUUGAUGAUUCGUGACAAACGAAUAACUGUAACAUUUAAAUACAAAGAAGCCAAAAUUAAAAACAGUAAAAUCAUUUUUAUUCCAGCACCACUGACAAAGCAUAUCACGUACCACUGACAUAGCAUAUCACAUUCCACUGACAUGGAGUAUCACAUACACUGACAUAGCAUAUGACAUUCCACGGACAUAGUGCAUCACUUACCACUGACACAGCACACAACAUACCACUGACAUAGUGCAUCACAUACAAAUGACAUAGCACAUCACAUACCACUGACAUGGUGCAUCACAUACAACUGAUAUAGUGUAUCACAAUGUUGGUUUAGUUCCAUAUAAAUAAAUAACUGUAUAGUUUUCUAUGGACAUUAAUUGAAACAAACAAUAAAUUACAUUUGGCUUAACAUUGACACUCCCUCUCAUACAAAGUUUUUAAAGCCAAUCAAACUGUUACAAAAAUAAAUCAUCAAGAUGAAAUUUCAUAAAAACAGUGGUAACAAUUUUUUAUUCAAUAGUUUUAGCCUUUGUUUAAUGUGCUUCACAAGGUGUAGUCACAUUUAAAAAGAUAAUCUUAAGUCAAUUUCUCCUAAAUAAAAGUUAAUACUAAAUAAAUAAAAGUGAACUUUGAAUAGGACCUAGCAGUUAUGUGGCCCCAGUGCAGUUUUGUUGACCCAUGCAAUAUGAUAUGGUCCCAGUGACUUGAUGUGGGUACAUUGCAGAUAUGUGACCCCAGUGCAAUGUGAUGCGCCCAAAUGCAAUGUGAUGUCUUUAGAAACUAUGCUACAAAUUCAUUUGAUACAAUUGUUCUAAAAACGAAUAUGUCAACACACUUGUAUUAAAAAAAACAUUGUUGACUUUGUAAGUCAAUUUCAGUCAUUCCUUCAAAAACGAUAAUCAAUAUGAUGUAGCAACAAACCUCCAGCGGGACGGCAGGUAUUGCAUUUGAGAUAUCAUGACAACAACAAUCAAAUGCACAUUGCACAUGGCAGACAGCCAUUUAUUUACUAUUGCUCUUUGAUAUUUUG